rnacentral:rRNA from 1 species
UGCUGGAGCGAAUAGAAGUGAGCAUGCAGGCAUGAGUAGCGAUAAUUAAUGUGAGAAUCAUUAACGCCGUAAACCCAAGGUUUCCUACGCGAUGCUCGUCAUCGUAGGGUUAGUCGGGUCCUAAGUCGAGUCCGAAAGGGGUAGACGAUGGCAAAUUGGUUAAUAUUCCAAUACCAACAUUAGUGUGCGAUGGAAGGACGCUUAGGGCUAAGGGGGCUAGCGGAUGGAAGUGCUAGUCUAAGGUCGUAGGAGGUUAUACAGGCAAAUCCGUAUAACAUACUCCGAGAACUGAAAGGCUUUUUGAAGUCUUCGGAUGGAUAGAAGAACCCCUGAUGCCGUCGAGCCAAGAAAAGUUUCUAAGUUUAGCUAAUGUUGCCCGUACCGUAAACCGACACAGGUGGGUGGGAUGAGUAUUCUAAGGCGCGUGGAAGAACUCUCUUUAAGGAACUCUGCAAAAUAGCACCGUAUCUUCGGUAUAAGGUGUGGUUCGCUUCGUAUUAGGAUUUACUCCGAAAGCGAAGAAACUUACAACAAAGAGUCCCUCCCGACUGUUUACCAAAAACACAGCACUCUGCUAACUCGUAAGAGGAUGUAUAGGGUGUGACGCCUGCCCGGUGCUCGAAGGUUAAUUGAUGGGGUUAGCAUUAGCGAAGCUCUUGAUCGAAGCCCGAGUAAACGGCGGCCGUAACUAUAACGGUCCUAAGGUAGCGAAAUUCCUUGUCGGUUAAAUACCGACCUGCAUGAAUGGCGUAACGAGAUGGGAGCUGUCUCAAAGAGGGAUCCAGUGAAAUUGUAGUGGAGGUGAAAAUUCCUCCUACCCGCGGCAAGACGGAAAGACCCCGUGGACCUUUACUACAGCUUGACACUGCUAUUUGGAUAAGAAUGUGCAGGAUAGGUGGGAGGCUUUGAGUAUAUGACGCCAGUUGUAUAUGAGCCAUUGUUGAGAUACCACUCUUUCUUAUUUGGGUAGCUAACCAGCUUGAGUUAUCCUCAAGUGGGACAAUGUCUGGUGGGUAGUUUGACUGGGGCGGUCGCCUCCCAAAUAAUAACGGAGGCUUACAAAGGUUGGCUCAGAACGGUUGGAAAUCGUUCGUAGAGUAUAAAGGUAUAAGCCAGCUUAACUGCAAGACAUACAAGUCAAGCAGAGACGAAAGUCGGUCUUAGUGAUCCGGUGGUUCUGUGUGGAAGGGCCAUCGCUCAAAGGAUAAAAGGUACCCCGGGGAUAACAGGCUGAUCUCCCCCAAGAGCUCACAUCGACGGGGAGGUUUGGCACCUCGAUGUCGGCUCAUCGCAUCCUGGGGCUGGAGCAGGUCCCAAGGGUAUGGCUGUUCGCCAUUUAAAGCGGUACGCGAGCUGGGUUCAGAACGUCGUGAGACAGUUCGGUCCCUAUCUGCCGUGGGCGUAAGAAGAUUGAAGAGAUUUGACCCUAGUACGAGAGGACCGGGUUGAACAAACCACUGGUGUAGCUGUUGUUCUGCCAAGAGCAUCGCAGCGUAGCUAAGUUUGGAAAGGAUAAACGCUGAAAGCAUCUAAGCGUGAAGCCAACUCUAAGAUGAAUCUUCUCUAAGCUCUCUAGAAGACUACUAGUUUGAUAGGCUGGGUGUGUAAUGGAUGAAAGUCCUUUAGCUGACCAGUACUAAUAGAGCGUUUGGCUUAUCUUU